AAUAGCUACGAAAUUUUCGUGGCAAAUUUGAAAAUGCUAUGAAAAUACUAUGAAAAUAAAACGUAGCAAACAAAAGCCACGAAAAUGCAAUUCGUAUGUAAAUCGUAGCAAAAAAAGUCACGAAACUGCCACGAGAUAAAAACGUAGCAAACUAUAGCCACGAUUUUGCUACGAAAUUUUCGUGGCAAACUGUUACGAAAUUAAACGUACCUACAAUCGUAGCUAGUUUGUAAAAAAAAUAUUUUUGCUACGUUUUGGGAACUAAAUUUUUCGUGCCUGUGUAGAAAAACCACAAUUUUAUCACGAAAUAGCCACUGAAAUUUGAAAUCCCUAAAUAUACUUUUAAAACCCUAAACUCUAAAUUAAAAUCUUAAACUCUUAUUCUAACUUUAAAUCUUAAACUUAAAUUCAAAAAUUAAUUUUUUCAGAUUUUAUUCUUAAAUCUUUAAUCUAACCUCAAAACUAUAUUCCAAACCAUACACCUUAAACAUAAACAUAAUACCCUAAAUCAUAAAUCCAAACACCAAAACUAAUAUUUUCAAACUUUAAACUCGAAUGUUAAACAUAAAUUACAAACUCUAUACCCCAAAUCAUUAACAUAAUCUUUAAAUAAUUUAAUUAUUUAAACUAAAUAAAUAAUGCUAAUAUAUAAUUAUUAGUUAUGUAUAUAAAUAUUUAAAAUGUUUACACGUAAACUUUACCUCUUUGUUUGGUAAGCAUGUAAACUUUAUCUCUUUGUUUGGUAAGCAUGUAAACUUUAUCUAAAAUUAAAACAAAACAGUAUCUUUAAUUCUAAGGCUUAAACUAUUAAACCUAAACAAAGAGAUAAAGUUUAAUAAAAUUGCUCUUAAAUCUUAAACUAUAAAUAUAAACUUUAAUAAAAUUGACACUUAACUUUAUAUUUUCAUACUAUAAACUCAAAUUUUAAAGUAGUCUUUUAUUUUGAACUAAAUCACCAAAUUAUAUAUCAUAAACAUGACACCUAACUUUAUAUUUUUGUUUGAACUAAAUCAACAUAUCUUAAAUCAUAAACAUAAUUUUUUAUAUCUAUAAUUAAAAAAUAUAAAAUUAUAUAAAACAUUCUCUUUUGUCUUCGAUAUAUAUUAAAACUAAAAUGCUGUAAAAAAGAAGGUAGAAUAAAGUAAACAUAAUUAAUAAUUACUCCUAAAUUUCUAUUGGUUAAGAUAAGAGGGUGAGGAUAGCAAUUUUUGCCCAUUGAUUAAAUCUAAUCAAUGGUUCAGAUUCAUUUAUCUGUGUUUCUUUCUCUCUCUCCAAAGUCUCUUCUCUCGAUAUCUUUUUCUAAUAUUCUUCUCUCCAGAACUCUUCAACAAUACAACUCUGUCUUAAUCUCUCACAAUCACUCACAGCCUUCUUCUUCUCCAUCUACAACACGAAGUUUAACAACGACCGUCGCGUUGUUCACCACCACCACAAGAAGGUGGAGGAGGCAGAGGAGAUUGAUGGAGGAGGAGGUAGCAGAGGCGGUGACUAGUGAGAUGAGCCGGCUUGAAGAUUGAAGAUAAGAAGAAGCGUGACGGCAGAGGAGGCGUGAAGCGUUGCUUCAUCCAUAACACCACCGGUGGCUCCAGAAACAAAUCGAGUCGCCGCUUCUGGCGUAGUAUCAGGAGGUGUCGGUGGUGAAGCUGGUGGCGGUACCGGUGGUUGAGCCGGCGUAUAUAUUUGUGUAUAUAUAUAUGAUAUAUGUUUAUAAUUUGUUUUCUAUAUAUUUUGUAAUUUCAUUAAUAAAAAUUGUUUUUUUCUAA